UCCACUGAUUUUUCAUUGCUUUCAGGUGGUUCUUUGAUACCCGUGCCUGGCAGAACCCAGAUUUCUCCAAGUAUCUCGUGGUGCUGAGCAGCAGAGUUUCCUAGAAGGAGACUUUAAAAGUCUUUCUCAAAGUGAAUAGGAAACUUGGGAAUGCUUGCUGUCAUCUCUCCCCUGAGAAGUGUAGCAACUUCACAACCAGGAGAAGUUGGUCCUUGGGAGCUGUGAUUCCUGCCUGCACGCAAUGCUGCAGGCUCCAGAGGAGAGACCCUGGGUGCUGAUGACAAGGACGUGGUCCAAGUGCCACCCCGGGCAUUGCCAGCCACAGAGGGGAUGUGUUUGCCUGGGACAGGUGCAUUCCCAGUCUCGCAGAGCAGGAGGUUCUGAGCUGUGACCGUGCCACUCCAGCACCUAAAAUGUGAAACCUGUGGAGAAUUCCUAUUACUGUGCAGUAAGUCAACUCUGAUAUUUGCAUAUUUAUUUUUAGAAGACAGAUUUGGGUUGAUUUAAGG
rnacentral:lncRNA from 1 species